rnacentral:rRNA from 1 species
UACGUAGGGUGCAAGCGUUGUCCGGAUUUAUUGGGCGUAAAGAGCUCGUAGGCGGUCUGUCGCGUCGGAUGUGAAAACCCAGGGCUCAACCCUGGGCCUGCAUUCGAUACGGGGCAGACUAGAGUGUGGCAGGGGAGACUGGAAUUCCUGGUGUAGCGGUGAAAUGCGCAGAUAUCAGGAGGAACACCGGUGGCGAAGGCGGGUCUCUGGGCCAAUACUGACGCUGAGGAGCGAAAGCGUGGGGAGCGAACAGG